rnacentral:rRNA from 1 species
AGUGAACGCUGGCGGCGUGCCUAAUACAUGCAAGUCGAACGGAGUGGCGCACGGGUGAGUACUAUCUAGCUAAUCUGCCCCUUGCUGGAGGACAACAGUUAGAAAUGACUGCUAAUACUCCAUAGCAAGGGAUGAGACUAUAUCGGAUCAGCUAGUCGGUGGGGUAACGGCCUACCGAGGCUAUGACGCGUAACUGGUCUGAGAGGAUGAUCAGUAACAUUGGAACGGAGACACGGUUGAAACACCUACGAGAGGGAGCAGUAGGGAAUAGUUGGCAAUGGGGGAAUCCCUGACGCAGCAACGCCGCGUGGAGGAUGACACUUUUCGGAGCGUAAACUCCUUUUGUUAGGGAAGCGGUACCUAACGAAUAAGCACCGGCUAACUCCGUGCCAGCAGCCGCGGUAAUUC